rnacentral:rRNA from 1 species
UACGUAGGGUGCGAGCGUUGUCCGGAAUUAUUGGGCGUAAAGAGCUCGUAGGCGGUCUGUCGCGUCGGUCGUGAAAACUUGGGGCUUAACCCUGAGCUUGCGGUCGAUACGGGCAUGACUGGAGUUCGGCAGGGGAGACUGGAAUUCCUGGUGUAGCGGUGAAAUGCGCAGAUAUCAGGAGGAACACCAGUGGCGAAGGCGACUCUUUGGUCUGUAACUGACGCUGAGGCGCGAAAGCGUGGGGAGCAAACAGG